CAGCAGCCACUGUAAUACGGAGGGUGCAAGCGUUAAUCGGAAUUACUGGGCGUAAAGCGCACGCAGGCGGUCUGUCAAGUCAGAUGUGAAAUCCCCGGGCUUAACCUGGGAACUGCAUUUGAAACUGGCAGGCUAGAGUCUUGUAGAGGGGGGUAGAAUUCCAGGUGUAGCGGUGAAAUGCGUAGAGAUCUGGAGGAAUACCGGUGGCGAAGGCGGCCCCCUGGACAAAGACUGACGCUCAGGUGCGAAAGCGUGGGGAGCAAACAGGAUUAGAUACCCCAGUAGUCCCUGUCUCUUAUAC
rnacentral:rRNA from 1 species